rnacentral:rRNA from 1 species
UUGAACGCUGGCGGAAUGCUUUACACAUGCAAGUCGCACGGCAGCACGGGGGCAGCCCUGGUGGCGAGUGGCGAACGGGUGAGUAAUACAUCGGAACGUGCCCGGUCGUGGGGGAUAACGUAGCGAAAGUUACGCUAAUACCGCAUACGAUCUGAGGAUGAAAGCGGGGGACCUUCGGGCCUCGCGCGAUCGGAGCGGCCGAUGUCAGAUUAGGUAGUUGGUGGGGUAAAGGCCUACCAAGCCGACGAUCUGUAGCUGGUCUGAGAGGACGACCAGCCACACUGGAACUGAGACACGGCCCAGACUCCUACGGGAGGCAGCAGUGGGGAAUUUUGGACAAUGGGCGCAAGCCUGAUCCAGCCAUUCCGCGUGCAGGACGAAGGCCUUCGGGUUGUAAACUGCUUUUGUACGGAACGAAAAGGCUCUGGCUAAUACCUGGGGCUCAUGACGGUACCGUAAGAAUAAGCACCGGCUAACUACGUG